GAUGCCAUAGUUAUCCUCAGAGCAAACGGAUCCAUUGAACCGGCUAUUUCAGAUUUUUUGUCCAGAUACAAGAAACUUUUUAGCAACAAGCCAAGAAAACUCAUCAGAACGCCUUUUGCAAGAGCAAAAAAGCGAAUGCAAAACCGAUCUUUGCAUGUGCACAAGAUAUACCAUACGCUCUAUAUGAAGCUCUAUGUCUAACAUCAGGAUAUGAGAAGGUAGAAUACUUUGAACGGGCAUCCGCAAUCCAUGUUGUCGCAAAGAAAGAUGAUAACAUUCGGAUCAUAGAGCAGGCAUAUAAUAAUAUCCCGGCAAUCUGGCAGUAACGUAUUGAAGAAUCAUCCGGAAGCUGGAGAAAGUUCAUGUGUUUUUCAACGACAUCAUAGCCUAUGAUCAUUGUAUCAAUGCCGAAGGAUUACACAAAUCGGAUAAACAUAUAAGGCAAUUCGCGAUGCACCAAAACCUAUUACUUCUGAACUAUUUCUGGAGAAAGCAAUUUAUUACAAUGCCUUCUUUCCCAAUCUAUCCAUUGGGUUAGAUCGAUCACUAUAGAACAUGUUGCACACAAAUCAAUUCAUAUGGACAUCAGCCGUAGAAGAGGUUUAUAUAACAAUCAAGAAUAUUUUGAUUUUUCAAUGCCAUAUGACACGAUUUUACCUGUCUUCUACCGUACUUCUACGGCUAGCAAUAAAUGUAAAAAUAUGAGGAUGAGACUUGAUUUCGUAAGGCGGUCGAUAUUGAAAAAUAACGGGCAUUAUUUUGUCCUUCUUUCAAAAGCUUCGCAGCCCGUAUAUUUUAUGUCAGACAACCCAAGAAUGGAUAAAUGGAUACCUAUAAAGUUGUCACGAGAUUCGGAGAUCUCCAUUAUGAGAUUAAUUACUGGGUCAAGCGCCAGUAAUGUAGAUUAGAUCAGGCAAUGCAAGCUUUGCAUGCUCAAUUAUAGGAUCAAUACCAUUCUGAACGAAAAGUUUGCUUUUAUGAGUCUCUAAAUACUAGCAAACCUAGGCUACGUCGGGUGCGUCCGCAGCAGAAGUUAUGACACC